UCAAGACAAAUUUCCAGUGUGAGGUUCUGUUUAGGAUCAUGUUUGGACUUUGGAUGCAAAAUGUGCACGCACGGCCUCUUCUAUAGCUGUUCAUGGUGAGCUGUAAUAUGAAACCAUGAACUCUCUGCUAAACCAGCUAACCUCUGCUCUCUUCUGAUUAUACCUUUCUUCUCACCAAAAAAAUUCCUUCUCUAUGUGUGCACCGCUUUCUGUGGGUGUAUCUAGCACUUGAAAAUCAAGCAUAGCUCCAACCACAAAACAUUUCGAACAAAGGCUUAUGACAGUCAAGGAAACAACUGCUGGUUAUGUAAAGUUUCUGGCUGAAUUGUCAAGGAGGGAGUGGCAACACAUCAGGUGUAUAAUUCUGAAAUGAUCUCAUUCCUUGCAAACAGACUGAUGAUGUGCUAAAGGAAAAAGGUGGAGAGGAGGAAGAAGAGCAUUAUGAAAAAAGGAGCAUAAAGAAGUUGUCAGCUACUAUAUGCCUUCCACCGAGUGCACUGGAUGAGCAUGGGGUACUACAGACAACAACUACCUUUGCUACCCAGAUACAGACCAUGUAACUCAAGUUAUAUAUGUCUCAGAUGGCCAAAGCCGACUCGAGGUGAUUUAAUAAUUGCUCGUUCGUCGGGUGGGCUGGUGAAUAGAGAGGCUGAGAAAGCUUUAUGGUUGUAAAACUUUACUUACGUCGCUUGUGGUUGCGAUGAAAACGGUCCAGUUGUCUGAACAACUACGUUAGUUGUUCCAGCUGGCAGGGCUCAGGCCAGCACGUCCGUCUACAGAUCAGGCCGGCAGGGAAAAGGAUACGUCUGGGAUUGCGCUCGGCGACGGGGAGAAGAAUCGAUAGGUGAUCAGUCUAUCGAUCAGCUCAGCCACGAGUCAGAUCUCUCCAGAGGCACUCUGCAGCGUGCUCAAAGUUCUCCAACUUGGGCGGAAGUCACGCUAAUUUUUAAACGGCUAGCAAGCCAAUUACUAGCCGCCACGUAGGAAUAAUUUAGAGCUGGCCAAUAGCGGGACACUAAUUUGCAUUCGAAUGGCGGGAACUCUCUUGCACUGGGGGUUUUCUGCUGCAACAGAAAACCUCUUACUUUGCAAGAGGCUCUCAUGUGGCGGGAAAAUUCCACCAUGCCGAGGCACCAAAAUCACUGGGUUGUGACAAUAUAUACUGUAGGUAGUUGGAAUGUGUGUACAGGUACCUAGGCACAUUUACUGUACUGAUGUGCCUGUUCUGACACCUUAGGUAGAUAUAACAUGGCUUAUGCUCAUGGAGUGAGGAAGUAUAUCACUGCAUAUUAGGGCCUAAUGGUCCUGGGUACACAGGGAAAAGCUGUGUACCCAGUGAUAUAUUUAGUGAUAUAUUAGUGAUAUAUUUUCCCGCAUAAUUUAAGGAAUAGAUCUAUUGUUCCAAGAACUGUUCAAACAUUUUGGAUGAAAAAUUACAACUAGAAUCCUUCUCAAUUCAGAUAGCGUUGCACAUUUCAGGAGAGUAGAAUACUGGAGUUGAGAUCCACCUUCAGAUCGGAGGGGAAAUUUGCACUCCAUGUUUAUUGCAUCGUGGUGCACAACACAUACAUCAACCUCCCAACUGCUAAAAUGCUUUAAGGUAUCAUUUUAACAGACUGGGUUAAAAAUCCCAGGCUAGAAACUUUAGAUACCAUUCAGUGUCUUACCUGUCUCUAUGCCCUGAAUUUUUUUAUUUUAAAAUUUUCAUUUGUUAAAAAAUAGUUAAAAGGAAACAGUGUGUACAUUAAAGAUUAAAUACUUCUGUAAUUAUUUUUAGAAGAAAGGAAUUUCUUCAGGUUACUGGUGCUAAUGUGAAACAGAUAAAAUCAGUACUACAUGACAAAGAAUAAAAAUCUGCUGGAAUAGUUAACUAAGUGGUUUUGUACUUAUGAUGGAAAGUUUUUCUGCUUUAAUUUGUAUGUGUAAUGAAAUUAAAGGCAAAAUUAUAUAAAGGAUGCAGCUGAUCGGAAGCACUUGCAUUGUUCAUCUUUGUAAUGGCUGUAGAUUUAGGUUUUCUGAUGUGGGCUGUCAUGGGAUACUUCCUGAUCAAUGUGAAUAUGAAACCCUUAGAGAGAGAUAUCGUUAUGCAGAUGUCAUAUUGUCAAGUGUGUCUUGUAACUGCCUACUUUCUGCUUCAUCUCUGAGCCUCCUCAGAAACAUUUUUAAUAUCUCCUGUCUCUCUCUCCUAUUUACUUAGUGUUGGCAGUUUGCUUGGUGAUAUAUUCUGCUUAGAUCAGUGAUUCCCAAAGGGCAUGCCACUGCAUACUAGUGUGCCAUGAGAGUGGGGGGCAGAGUGGAGAUAGGAGGAAACUGUAGGACUGCCUGAUGCCAAAUUUGAAGCACCCCAGUCUGUCCAUACCUUUAUAUGUGUCUUUAAUGCCAUUAAGUUUAGCAUGGCCUUUCAGUACCCUGCUUGCUUCUGGAAAUAUAACUCAAGCUCCCAAGAUCUAACUUUACCACCACUUGAAGCACAGCAAACCCAGAACAAAUGACUAUAUGGAAGUGACAUUACCUAUGUAUGCCCUACUUGAACUUUUACAUGUUAAUGGACCAGCAAAUUGUAGCCUUGUAAGCUUUUUGAAUGUGUUCAUUCUUUAGUAUCUUGACACAUGUUGCUGAAACAUGGUGGGAAAUUGGGUUUACUUACAACUAUGAAGCCAUAUUGGUUGACUUGGUUAAUUCCCUGAAACAAAGUGAUUUACGUACAUGUACAUUUGUAGAGUUUGGCCAACCCUUUUUGCAAGUGGUUUACUUGUUUUCCCUUAACUGCAGAAUUCGUUGACUGACUUGAAUCACUCAAGCUAUGAAUGUAUUGUAUUAGUCUGAUACCACUACAAAUUUCAUGGACAAAUAAUGGGAGCAUGUAAUGGGGAAAAGAAUCUGUGUAUGCUAAUCAUCUGCAGAACAGCUGGAGCUUUCCAUGUUGGAUACCUUUACAAUAGCCACUGUGUAAAGUGAAUAGAGAGUUAACUAGGGAACAAAAAAAGAUGUGGUUGUUGCAUGUUUCCUUUUCUUCUGUGUUGUGGCUUUGUCUGCGCAGGGAGAUUACACAAUAUUUCCAUCUACAUCUUACUAUUUGCUAACUCAGUUUUAUUUUUAAAUAAAGCUUUUUCUUGCUCCA